UUUUUGGAUUUGGUUUUGGGAGUGCUAACAUUAGGAUCCCUGUGGGAUAAAAAAUUGUUCUCGAAGAUUUUAGGUUCCAUUAUUAUUAUUGGGAAGAGUAGCUUUCCCUUUUUGAAUUUUUAUGAGUACUUAUUUUCUGUUAGGUGUUGUAUCUGCUUGCUCGAAUUUUGCCUGUGGUGUUGUGUUGCUUGAUGGAAUCUCGAAAGAAGAUAAGGGGAGCGGUGGUGUCGUCUUCUGCUGUAUCUAUUCAUGAGGUCAAUUUGGAAGCUCAUGAAAAAAUAAUUCAUUCAGAAGGUGAAUGUCUGAUAAAUAGGAUGAAUGAUGACGCACUCAUUCACAUUCUUGGCUUUUUACCCAUUAAAGAGAUGGCAAGAACAAGUGUUCUUUCACAUAGAUGGAGGUACUUAUGGCGUCGUUCACUCAUACCACCACUGAAUUCUAUGGAAGUUUCCAUCAACAAUGAAAGCAAGCACCAUGACCCAUAAAUGGAUCUUGAGAUGAUGUUUGUAGAACAAAUGUUAUGAAGAUUAAAAAAAAAGGCAUUCGAAGAUGGCAAAGUUACCAUUGGAUAGUUUUUGUUAUGUAGUUCAUAGCAAAGAGUUUUUUUUUUUUUUUUUAUGGUUUCUUUUUCCCCUUUAAAAGUUGAUGAACAUCUGGUUUGUGGAAUUACAUGAAAUGUAAUAAGAAGUGUUGCAUGCAAUUUUUGAUGUUUUCUUAGCAAAAAUAGAACAAAAUGCACAUUUCUCUUCCUAAAUAGAGUUUCUUUUUUGCCCUUUAUUGAAGUGUGAAAGCAGUAGGGGGUUGAAUUACUUCUUUUUCCAUCAGACAGUCGACUUCAUCUUCUAGAUAAUUAACUAUUGAGUGCAGUAAUGAAAAUUUCAAAAAUUAAGCAGCUGAAAGUAAAUAACACCAGAUGUUUUAUACUGGUGGGCAUCUCUAAUAGGUCUUACUUCAACCCCUUGGAUUGCAAGGAUUCUACUAGUUCUCUAUAAAUAAUCAAAGUAGAUG